rnacentral:lncRNA from 10 species
CUCCUGCUCUGGAGUGCGCCGCAGGUGAGGCGGGGAGUCCGCCUGACCCGCAGCCCGAUCCCCAUCAGCGACUAUGUAUUAAGCAUCUAUGUACCACGGCCCAAGCCAGGCCCUGGGACCAAAUGAGGAAAAAACCUACCGCCCUUCCUGGCCGAGCUCCCAGCCUAGUGGAGGCGGUGGCCGUGGGUUCCAACAGCCCCACAGAUAGAAAAAUCACAAAGCGUGAUAACACAAAGUGCAGGAAAGAAAGAACGGCGGUGAAAUGAGAUCAUCUCACACGCGGCCCAGUUUAGCUUAGAGUCCUGUUCCUAGCUCUUUGAUUCCUCUUCAAAUAAAAUGUUAAAGCAUGGACAAUGUGUGAAUAUGUUAGAACAAUUUUAGAUAUUAUCAUAAGCAGUAGCUAAUAUUUAUUGGGUGUGUACCACGUGUCAGAUACGGUUUCACUUCCUCUGGGAGGGAGGUGCUGUUAUUAAGCCCAUUUUACAGAUAAAGAAACUGAGACACAGGGAGGUAAAGUCACUUUGUUCAAGAUCACUCAAAUGGAAGAUGGGGGGUUCUGGGUUUCCAACCCAGGCCAUCUCAUGACAAUCUGCCAAGUCCCCUUGACUAUCCCUCCCUUACCAACUUCACAUCCCUGCCCCCAAAUCCGCGGAGGUACUCACUGUUAACCGGCUUGGAAGCCCACUGCAAAGCACUUAAGCUGCUCCUGGGUGCUUCUUAUUUCUGGCGGACCCCGAGCCUGUUCUUCGUCCAUAUCUGGGCCUCGUUACACCAGUCUGGGAAAGGAGGCUUGUACUGGGGGUUCCUAGAAGGGCAGCCUCUCCCCCUUUCCAUCCCGAAGUCCCUCUGCCUCUGUCUUCCCAGGACUGGGGAACCCGAUGAAGAGGAGGGAACUUUCCGCAGCUCCAUCCGCCGUGAGUCUGGGGAGACUGCGGGUAUUUUGGGGAGAGGGCUGGUUCCAAGGACCCCUUUUCCUGGCCCUCCCCGGCUGCGUAGAGGGAGGGGCUAUAUCUGAAAGCAGAGGGCGGGGAGUUGCCCCGCCUGCCCAGGAGCUGGGGAUGCCCCUCCUGAUGGCCCCCGAUCUCCGUGUUCCCCCCAGGUCUGUCCACCCGCAGGCGGUAGAAACACCUGGCGCGAUGGAAUCCGGCCAGCUGCUGCAGCGCGCCUUCGCCGCCAAAGCAUCCAGCAGCCCCCUGCUCCGGCCCAGCAUGGCGACCCCGACCCAGACCCCCACAAAGGGUGAGCGUCGUCUGGGGAGGGGGUUGCAGGGGGGCUCCGGGAUCUGAGAGCCUAGGAGAGAGGGUGUCGGGAGAUUCCAGCAAUGGUAAGGCAGGGGAGUGGGGGGAGGGAGGUCUGCUCCUUCUGUGGGCGGAGGCCCCUGUAAUGCAGCCCCCCGAUCGCCCCUCCGGGUCUCUGGGACACCCCCUCCCCGGCGGGUGUCCUGUGCCAGACCUGCGGUUGGAGAGUGGCAGUCCCGGGAGAAGGGAUGCUCGGACAGGUCGCUAUGGCAACCGGGUGGCUGGUCCCGCACCGUGGUGGUAGCAGACGGGAAGAGAUGAGCUUGCAGGGUGGGAGCGGGUGGGUCUGCGGCCAGAGACGUUCUGGAAGAUUUCAGGGUCCCUGGGGUGGGCAAGGGAAGGGGAGGAGGUUCAUUCCCUCUUCUUUCCAGUGCUGUCUCCUAGGGUGUGUGUUUCCUGAAACCCUUGACAGCCAGGUUCAGAGGAAAGGAGUGAGAGCUGAAGGAAGAGACAGCGAGAAGGCAUAUAGCAAGAGAUGGACAGGGAGAACCUGGAAGAGACAGAGACCGAGAGGCAGGAGAUCCAGAGUCACAGAUACAAAGACCCAGGAAGACAAAUAGAUGGACUCAGAGAGAUUCCCAGUGGAGGCGAGUGGCAAAGAACGGUAGACAGAGAUGCAGAGAGAGAGAGAGAAAAUGAGAGCCUGGGAGAUAGCGGGAAUGAGACUGCUAUGGAGAGAGAAGCAGAGAGACGGAGGGAGAGAGACGGACCCAUGGGGAAAGAGGGGAAUAGAAAGAGAAGGAAGCAGUGUGGGGUGGGGCCCAAACCACUGCAGUGAACCCCCAUGGGUGGGAAUGGGGUGAUGGGACCCUCCUUCCCAGCCCACAGCAGGGGUGUUUUCCAGUCCCAGAGGUGUACCUGGGUAUGCACCUAACUGCCCCUACUGCCCCCAUCCAGCCGCACACUGAUUUCCAUUCCACACCCAUUAACCCAGUUAUGCACCCAGUUGAACACCCACUUCCACCGUUGCCCCCUAAUAGCCCCCAUUGCUAAGCCUGCUUCUGCAGAGGAGCAAGGCACAGACUGCUUCAAGAGGGAGCGGGUGCCCAGCUAGGGUCUCCAGCACUGAGGGCAGGGGAUGGACCAGGGGUGUUGAGAAGCCCCUGGCCGUGAAGGGAACCCCAAUUCCGCUUGGAUGACUCCCUCCCUUCCGUGCUUCCCAGAAGGCGGGGGCUGCUGCACUGAGCCAUAUCUGCAGAAUCCGAAGCAGGGCGGGGGGUGGGGGGGGCUGCAGAGGCUGGAAGCCACCCUGGGGAGAGGGGGCAGGGCUGAGGCAGCAGGCCUGGCGGGAGCCCAGGGCUUCUUUUUGCAGAGGUGGUGUUUAACAGGAUCGAUGGCAGCAGACGGGCAGAGGUGGGAGGACAGACUCCUCAACCCCACCUCCUCUGCCUCCCCCUUUCCCAGUCACAGCAUGAGAGGGGACCGCGGGUCUCGGGAAAUCCCGGGGGAGGAAAAGCAUGUUGUGCAUUGCAAACUGCUUAAGGAAACUAAUUAAUGAAUUGUUGGGGAGCGAGGGGGGAAGAAGGGAGAUUGUCUCCCUCCGCCCUGCCAGAGAACGGGCGGGAGAAUUAGGGGUGAACAGAAGAGGGAUGCAUGAGCACAGCUGGGUCCGGGUCCCUGUCCCUGAAAUGGACCCUCAGCUUGGCCAGAAGCCAGUCCUGCAGGGGCAACAGCAGGAGGUGCAAAAGGAGGGGAGAGGGUCAAGAUUGAAACCCGCAUCUUACACAGGACCUCACAAGGGACCCCACCCAGCCUGGGAUGCCGGGACCUAUCACCUCUCUUCACCUCACGAGAUGCCCCAGUUACCAUAGCAACCACCUCCUUCCUGAUAUCUCCUUGGCAGCUGGCCAGGAGUAGUGCACAUUCCUUUGCCUGACUCCUGGCCCCACCCUUAGCCUAGCCACGCCUGGGGGCCCAGGUUGCUGGGGCAGCAGGGACCAGAGGAGGAUCUCCUGCAUGGAACACCAGAUUCUGGGACAGGUGCUCACCCAGUGGGCUCCUGAUAACUUUGGGGAAGGGCAGGUGUGUGGAAAAGACUAGUGAGACAAUCCACCUUUUGCAGCCUCCUGCAGCCUAGGACCGCCUCAUAAUCAUUCCUUCAUUCAUUCAUCCGAGAAAACUUGGAGAGCCUUUCAUAAAUGUCAGGAUGAACAGCAGCGAUGAGUCAAACAAAUUUACUCACUCUCUGGUGGGGAAACUUACACAGAGCACAAGGGACCCUGAGGCAGUGUUUCACCAUCUUGGUGCUUUUGAGUAUUACCGUCGCAAUUUUCACUUUAUUCAAAUACUCCUCACACUGCUAUUUAUUUAAUUUUUUUCCUUCAAACAAUUAGCUUUUUUACUUUUAUUUUUUGAGACAGGGUCUCGCUCUGUCACCCAGGCUGGAGUGCAAUGGUGCGAUCACAGCUCACUGCAGCCUCAAAGUCCUGGGCUCAAUCUAUCCUCCCACAUCAACCUCCCGAGUAGCUGGGACUACAAGGCACUCCCCGCUACACCCAGCUAAUUUUUGUAUUUUUUGUAGAGACAGGUUUUGCCAUGUUUCCCAGGCUGGUCUCAAACUCCUGGGCUCAAGCAAUUCACCUGCCUUGGCCUCCCAAAGUGUUUAGGAUUACAGGCUGGGCCACCAUGCCCAACCCAGGAUUAGCUUUUUAAAAACAAUGAGCUUUAUUUUAUAGCACCAUCACAACUGGAAAAUUCACCAUUUUCUUCUUU